rnacentral:snoRNA from 1 species
CCUGCCCCUAGAGGCCGUGCAGGUGAGGCUACUGUGCCAUGUGUGCAUCUGUAGGUGGCAGAGAGGAGAGAGGUCAGGUAUAUGCUCAGUUUUCUGACCUAGGAACACCUGAACGAUUAGUAGCCUAACAUU